UGGUGAGGAUGAACUCCUUUAGUUUUUCUCUUGCCUGGGAAGCUCUUUAUCUGCCCUUCGAUUCUAAACGACAGCUGUGCUGGGUAGAGCGGUCUGGGUGUGGGUCCCUGCUUUCCAUGCCUUUUCCCUUUCCCUUU